rnacentral:rRNA from 1 species
CGGGGGGCAGCAGUGGGGAAUUUUGGACAAUGGGCGAAAGCCUGAUCCAGCCAUUCCGCGUGAGUGAAGAAGGCCUUCGGGUUGUAAAGCUCUUUCGCAAGGGAAGAAAACUUAGGCGCUAAUAUCGCUUGAGGUUGACGGUACCUUGAUAAGAAGCACCGGCUAACUACGUGCCAGCAGCCGCGGUAAUACGUAGGGUGCGAGCGUUAAUCGGAAUUACUGGGCGUAAAGCGUGCGCAGGCGGUUUUGUAAGUCAGAUGUGAAAUCCCCGAGCUCAACUUGGGAACUGCGUUUGAAACUACAAGACUAGAAUAUGUCAGAGGGGGGUAGAAUUCCACGUGUAGCAGUGAAAUGCGUAGAGAUGUGGAGGAAUACCAAUGGCGAAGGCAGCCCCCUGGGAUAAUAUUGACGCUCAUGCACGAAAGCGUGGGGAGCAAACAGGAUUAGAUACCCGAGU